CUGCACGCCAGUGCGAUAAGGGGAUCCCAAGUGCGCAGGCAUAGAGCCUGCGCUUUUGUCCACCCUAGGGAGGUGGACGAAUAAGGGCUGGGCGAGACCGGUGCCAGCCGCCGCGGUAAUACCGGCAGCCCGAGUGAUGGCCGAUCUUAUUGGGCCUAAAGCGUCCGUAGCUGGCCGCGCAAGUCCAUCGGGAAAUCCACCCGCCCAACGGGUUGGCCGUCCGGUGGAAACUGCACGGUUUGGGACCGGAAGGCGCGACGGGUACGUCCGGGGUAGGAGUGAAAUCCCGUAAUCCUGGACGGACCGCCGAUGGCGAAAGCACGUCGCGAAGAACGGAUCCGGACAGUGAGGGACGAAAAGCCAGGGUCUCGAGACCGGAUUAGGGUACCCGGGUAGUCCUGGCCGGUAAAGAGUGCCCUGCAAGGUUGUGGCUCACCAUUACGAGUGGGGUGCUGUGCCGUAGGG
rnacentral:rRNA from 1 species